CCUACGGGUGGCUGCAGUGGGGGAUAUUGCACAAUGGGGGAAACCCUGAUGCAGCGACGCCGCGUGAGUGAAGAAGUAUUUCGGUAUGUAAAGCUCUAUCAGCAGGGAAGAAAAUGACAGUACCUGACCAAGAAGCCACGGCUAACUACGUGCCAGCAGCCGCGGUAAUACGUAGGGGGCAAGCGUUAUCCGGAUUUACUGGGUGUAAAGGGAGCGUAGACGGUUUUUUAAGUCUGGAGUGAAAGCCCCGGGCUCAACCCCGGGACUGCUUUUGAAACUGUGUAACUGGAGUACAGGAGGGGAGGAUGGAAUUCCUGGUGUAGCGGUGAAAUGCGUAGAGAUCAGGAGGAACACCGGCGGCGAAGGCG
rnacentral:rRNA from 1 species